AGGAGCCCCCUGGAACAGAAGAAAGUAGACCUUGCCUCCAAGGCUCUUGUGAGCUGUCUGCAUCCAAAUUCACCUACUUCCCUUUUCUUCCCUCCUGUUUUUUUGUUUUGGUUUGGUUUGACUUUAUUUUUAGCUUUCCUAACUAGUGCAACCUCAAAAGAACAGAAAUGGAAGUAAAAUAAGAAAUAAAGAGACUUGGUGUCACUUCUGACACCAAAGAUUGGAGUCUUUCAAAGCAUCUCAGGGCACUUCAAAGAUAGGUAUAUAGCAGACGCCAAGGUCUGGUAGAAAGGGUUUGCUCACUGCUAAUCCAUAUUUAGGAUUUGAUUUUCUUUUUUCUUUUUCCCUGUCCGUAAGGUCUCUUCAGAUGUGAAUAUCAGAGAUAAGCCACAAAGGACAGAGAUAUGUUUGUCACCUAACUGCACUAGGUCUAUUGUGACAAAGGAUGUCUGCAGAGCCACAGUGAAGACACCGUCAGUGUUGGAGUCAAGUUUACGCAGGAGAGUGUCACCUGAACACCUGGAAUGAAUUUUCCUAUGCCUUAGAAGAAUAUAUUGUUCAUGGAUCCUGCAUACAUUAUUUAAAUGGAAAACUAAGAAAACACCAUGAAAUGUAUUCAUCAGCCUGACUUACAGAGGUGUUGCACAGCUGCAGAUCCUAUUUAAGGAGAAGGAGGAUUUCAGUCAUUUCAUGGCAGAUCAGGACCUUAUGCUUGAUGAAGACUCAGAACAACAUUCACCAUCCAGUCUUUCCUUAACACCCUACAAACAAGUGUUGUUUCUAGACAACCUGGAAAACAAAAUGCUGAAUGA